AAAAGGACCUUUUAACCGAGCCUUAUAGCAUCCUUGAAGUCCCCACCCUCCCUUCCAAUCAAAUCUUGAGCCAUUGGAAGGAAAGUCUGUCUACCACGUAGCCCACGUACAGCCCGUGUGGCACGUGGAGCGAGUCCUUUAAAUAGGGCACGCUGGGACAGGAACCUGGGGAGAAGAGGGCAAGUCAUGUAGUUGUAUAUAUGAGCUUCAAACUAUUUGAUUAUUUGGACCCCUGAUCCUUGCCUGUUAAGCUGGAAUCCUGGCAGUACCCAGAGUGUUCACUUGUCUCAGCUAAUUCUAAUGCUUAGCGGAGAUGCAGGGAAGCCAAAUCUGAUUGGGGGUCGUCAUGGAAACUACACUGAGGAGCCUUCAAGGAGCUGGAGAGAGGCAAGGCAAAAUGUGAUAGUUGAGUCCUUUACUCUUCUGUCAGAAAUAUCAAAGGGAUCUGGAGAGGUUGGCAGCAGAUGAGUCCCUGGUAUGGUCCUGUUCUGUGUGGCUGGGUACCAUGUGGCUGUCACUGGAGAUACCUCAGCUACUGCCCUCUGGGACUUGACCAUCUGAGAUCAUGUUUACCAGAUCCUUGGAUGCUGACCUAAAAAUGUGAGCUCCCAUUAGAA